rnacentral:rRNA from 1 species
CCCUUAGAUGUCCGGGGCCGCACGCGCGCUACACUGAAGGAAUCAGCGUGGCUUUCUCCCUGACCCGAAAGGGUUGGGAAACCCGUUGAAUCUCCUUCGUGAUAGGGAUUGGGGCUUGAAAUUGUUCCCCAUGAACGAGGAAUUCCCAGUAAGCGCGAGUCAUAAGCUCGCGUUGAUUACGUCCCUGCCCCUUGUACACACCGCCCGUCGCUACUACCGAUUGAACGGUUUAGUGAGGGCCUCGGAUUGGUCUCGGCCCGCUCUUUACCGGGCGGCGCCGUUGGUCGAGAAGACGCUCGAACUUGAUCGUUUAGAGGAAGUAAAAGUCGUAACA